ACUAUUUUGACAGAAAAAUGUGGUGGGUUUAGAAGUCAUUUAUAUAUAAUUAAUUUAUAUAGAUAGUA
rnacentral:tRNA from 1 species